AUUGAACGCUGGCGGCAGGCCUAACACAUGCAAGUCGAGCGAGCGGCGGACGGGUGAGUAAUGUAUGGGGACUGCCCGAUAGAGGGGGAUAACUACUGGAAACGGUAGCUAAUACCGCAUACUAUCGGAUAACCCAUAUGGGAUUAGCUAGUAGGUGGGGUAAUGGCUCACCUAGGCGACGAUCCCUAGCUGGUCUGAGAGGAUGAUCAGCCACACUGGGACUGAGACACGGCCCAGACUCCUACGGAGGCAGCAGUGGGGAAUAUUGCACAAUGGGCGCAAGCCUGAUGCAGCCAUGCCGCGUGUAUGAAGAAGGCCCUAGGGUUGUAAAGUACUUUUAGCGGGGAGGCGGUAUCCGCAGAAGAAGCACCGGCUAACUACGUGCCAGCAGCCGCGGUAAUAC
rnacentral:rRNA from 1 species